rnacentral:rRNA from 1 species
AUUGAACGCUGGCGGCAUGCUUUACACAUGCCAGUCGAACGGCAGCGCGGGCUUCGGCCUGGCGGCGAGUGGCGAACGGGUGAGUAAUGCAUCGGAACGUGCCCAGUAGUGGGGGAUAGCCCGGCGAAAGCCGGAUUAAUACCGCAUACGACCUGAGGGUGAAAGCGGGGGACCGAAAGGCCUCGCACUAUUGGAGCGGCCGAUGUCGGAUUAGCUAGUUGGUGGGGUAAAGGCUUACCAAGGCGACGAUCCGUAGCUGGUCUGAGAGGACGACCAGCCACACUGGGACUGAGACACGGCCCAGACUCCUACGGGAGGCAGCAGUGGGGAAUUUUGGACAAUGGGGGCAACCCUGAUCCAGCCAUGCCGCGUGCGGGAAGAAGGCCUUCGGGUUGUAAACCGCUUUUGUUCGGGAAGAAAUCCUCUGGGCUAAUACCCCGGGGGGAUGACGGUACCGGAAGAAUAAGCACCGGCUAACUACGUG